rfam:Polynucleobacter sp. MWH-Weng1-1 2574185729, whole genome shotgun sequence.
UGUCUCCUCCACUUAAACAUAGGUGGAUUCCAACCCAGGACUCGUUCCUGGGUUUUUUUUG